CUCCAAAUUCUGUAUCAGAUAUGGCUAUUAGCACAUAUUCUUCAAUUCAUCGAGCAGGCAGGCUUGCUGAGCAUGUCCUGAGUGCACGGGGCCACGUCUCUCACGCUAGACGGAGGAGGUCUCAGAGCUGUAGAUUCCUGACGCUGGGUGUGUUGUCAGUAUGUGAGCACCGAAGCUCUGUAAAGUGGAUAUGCAUAACUGCCCUGGGAGCCAAUCAAGAUGGCUUGUUAGAAAGCACAGCAUGGUCAGAGUCGCUCCAGCACACCACCUCUCAAUGUGAGGGGCUGGCAAGAGAGGCAGGGCAUCUUCUUCUGUGAGGCUGCUCCCUACCUCCCUAAACCUUCCAGCUGUGCCCUACUCAGUCUGUGAGGUAUCUUAUCUCCCACCUCUUCUCCAUUUACAUCUGCUUGGCUUCAUGGGUCACAGCUGCUUCUCGGGGCGGUAUGGUGGGGACUUUUACUGCACCCCUCUAUUCUGGUAGCAACGACUCCACCAGCCCAACACAACAUGUUUCCUUUUGAUCCUGGAAUCUGAGGAGCUCCAAGCAAGCAAGCCAGAGCCUACUUGCUGGGGUGGAAGUGGGGACGGGGAGGCUUUCUCCUUUUACACAUGGACCGAGCCCUACGGUACUAUUGACUUGCCAGAGCUCGGUAAAGAACCACUAAUACUCUC